GGCAAACCAUGCGCUCCAAUCUACCGGUUUGGGGGAGCUAAGGGGAAGCUAGGUGAAGAGGGGUGCGCCAAGUCUUGGGAGCUCCCCCCCGAGCUCCUAAACCGGCGGGCUGUGAGCGGUUCUGCGGCGGCGGCUGAGGAGGGGUUCUGAUGCGCGGCGAGCUGCAGCCGCUAGAGGAGGCCGCAUGACCUGAAGAGGGGCCACGGACGGCGGGGCUAAGAACCCUAGGUCAACAGUGCGGAUUAAAGCCAAGAGUUCGUGGUUUUCUUCCGUGUUAUUUGUUCGGCUUACUUAUUUAAAGAGGGUCCAAGAGUUACGAUCUACUGGUACUGUGGUUCUCUACCUAUGUAAACAAACGUAAUAGAAACAACGUUUUACUACAACACCGACACUACUUGACAAACGACACUUUCUAAUACAACAAUACUAUUUAAUACUUACGACCCUAAACCCUAAGUUUCAGUACGACAAUACUAUUUAAUACAACAACGGCACUACUCUAUAACGAAAGUUCAGUACGUUUUAAUACAACAACCCUUUUGACGACGAU
rnacentral:rRNA from 1 species